rnacentral:rRNA from 1 species
CGCCAGACUCCUACGGGAGGCAGCAGUGGGGAAUAUUGGACAAUGGGGGAAACCCUGAUCCAGCGACGCCGCGUGAGUGAAGAAGUAUUUCGGUACGUAAAGCUCUAUCAGCAGGAAAGAAAAUGACGGUACCUGACUAAGAAGCCCCGGCUAACUACGUGCCAGCAGCCGCGGUAAUACGUAGGGGGCAAGCGUUAUCCGGAUUUACUGGGUGUAAAGGGAGCGUAGACGGCAGCGCAAGUCUGGAGUGAAAUGCCGGGGCCCAACCCCGGAACUGCUCUGGAAACUGUGAAGCUGGAGUGCAGGAGAGGUAAGCGGAAUUCCUGGUGUAGCGGUGAAAUGCGUAGAUAUCAGGAGGAACACCGGCGGCGAAGGCGGCUUACUGGACUGUAACUGACGUUGAGGCUCGAAGGCGUGGGGAGUAAACAGGAUUAGAUACCCGGGUAC